rnacentral:rRNA from 1 species
UACGUAGGGGGCAAGCGUUGUCCGGAAUCAUUGGGCGUAAAGAGCGUGUAGGCGGCUCGGUAAGUCCGCUCUGAAAGCCCGGGGCUCAACCCCGGGAGGCGGGCGGAUACUGUCGAGCUAGAGUCCGGAAGAGGCGAGUGGAAUUCCUGGUGUAGCGGUGGAAUGCGCAGAUAUCAGGAGGAACACCGAUGGCGAAGGCAGGUCUCUGGGCACUUACUGACGCUGAGGAGCGAAAGCGUGGGGAGCGAACAGG